rnacentral:misc_RNA from 1 species
GCCAUUUUCCUUUUAAAAACUCAACUCACGUUGAAUAUAGCCUGUUUAAUUUUAUUUGUCCGACAAAGUGCAUUGUGAAUCAUUUUGUCUCCAAAAUGGUGCAGUUUAUCAACGUCGCAAAAGUUUUUACAAUCAUGACCGUCAGCUAGGUUCAGCUCCCAAAGAUAUCCCAACUUUCUCUCUUUCUUGUAUAUCGCCGGCAAGUGUUCAGAGUUCCAGCUGGUAACACCUCUUAGAUCCGUUUAGAAAACACACACACAAAAACUAUGGAGGACGAUUCGCUGAAGAAGGACCGGAAGGACUCCAAGGAUGGUGGUGUCAAUGGGAAAGAAGGAGGAGGUGGCGGCGAUGGAGAGAUCGUCCUCAAGCCAAAGAUGACACUGGUCAACGGAAUUACCGUGAUUGUGGGUUCCAUCAUCGGGUCCGGAAUCUUCGUGUCUCCAACCGGAGUGUUGCUUAACACCGGCAGUGUCAACAUGUCGCUGAUCGUGUGGGUCAUCUCCGGCCUGUUUUCGAUGGUCGGCGCGUACUGCUACGCCGAGUUGGGCACGAUGAUCAAAAAGUCCGGUGCCGAUUACGCGUACAUCAUGGAGACGUUCGGCCCGUUCAUGGCCUUCAUUCGGCUGUGGAUCGAGUGUAUGAUCGUGCGGCCGUGCUCGCAAGCGAUCGUGGCCCUCACGUUCAGCGUGUACGUCCUGAAGCCGUUCUUCCCGGACUGCCAACCGCCGGACGAUGCCGCCCGGAUGCUGGCCGUCUGCUGUAUCUUGGUACUCACGUUCAUCAACUGUUGGGACGUGAAGUGGGCAACGGCCGUCCAGGACGUCUUCACCUACGCCAAACUGUUGGCCCUGUUCGUCAUCAUCGGAACCGGCGCGUACUUCCUGUUCAAGGGACACACCGAGCACUUUACGUUCGAGAACACUAAAACCGAGGUCACAUCGCUGGCGCUGUCAUUCUACUCCGGCCUGUUCGCCUACAACGGAUGGAACUAUUUGAACUUUAUCAUCGAGGAGCUGAAGGAUCCGGUCAAGAAUCUGCCGCGUGCCAUCGCCAUUUCCUGCACCCUCGUCACCGUGGUGUACGUGUUCACCAACGUGUCCUUCUACACGAUGCUGUCGCCGGAGGAGGUGCUCGGCUCGGAGGCCGUGGCCGUGACCUACGCGGAUCGGGUGUUUGGCAUGUUCGCGUGGACCAUUCCGGUUUUCGUGGCCCUGUCGACCUUCGGCGCCGUCAACGGCAUCCUGCUGACGUCAUCGCGCCUGUUCUACGCCGGCGCCUGCGAGGGCCAAAUGCCGGAGAUUCUCACCAUGAUCCAGAUCCAGCGGCUCACCCCGACGCCGGCCGUCCUCAUCAUGGCGCUGCUGUCGAUGCUGUACCUCACCUCGUCGGACAUCUUUGCGCUGAUCAACUACGUCGGAUUCGCCACCUGGCUGAGUAUCGGCGCGGCCGUUCUGUGUCUGCCCUGGCUGCGGUGGAAGCAGCCGAACCUGCCCCGCCCGAUCAAGGUGAACAUCUUCUUCCCGAUCUUCUACCUGCUGGCCACGAUCUUCGUCGUGGUUGUCCCGAUGAUCGCCAGCCCCAAGGAGACCGGCUACGGGUGCCUCAUGAUCCUGUCCAGUAUUCCCGUCUACUUCAUCUUCAUCGCGUGGAGAAACAAACCAAAGUGGUUCAACCACACCAUGGGCGGAUUCACUCAAAGCUUACAAAAGUUGAUGAUGGUGGUGCGGCCAAAGCAGAAGUAAAUCCGCCCUACCUUUUGAGGUCUUUGAAGGGGGCCAAAGCAAAAGGGAGGCCGCAAGGUGGAAAAGUGGGCCUCACCCGAUUCUUGCAGAAGAUGCUUCUGGUCGUCGGCAAGGCCAAACCAGCUCAGGUUUAGAGAAAAGAAAAGUAAUUCAAGAGUUUAAACUAGAUCACCCAACAACCAUCAGACGAGCAUCGCUCUCCCCCCAAAAGCAUGCACAUUACUAAUCGAAAGCAUUCAUUAGAAGAAGGAAGCAAAAAAAAAAACUUUUGAAGAUUACCGAAUAGUGCGCAUUUACAGCAUCAACAUUCCAAAAUCACUCUCUCAACGACAACGAGGAAGCUAUUUAUGUUUUAAAACGCAACGCUGUUUUGUUGGCGUAAAAUUUAAGUGCAUUUUGUUAGGAUUUAAAAAAUUAUCUCUGUAUUUUGUUAAUUUUAGACUGUCUGACAUUCCACGUGGUAGUAUUUGUUAGUGAUCCGUAGGCAAGCGAUUGUUUUUAUAAUUUGUACUAUUAGAAUAUUUUCGGCUUGAAAAAAUAUGUUCCUGUUAAAUUUUAAAUCACUCGUUUUAUUAUCAUUUUUCGCGUGCAACGCACAUAUUUGAGACCAGUCUCAAAUCAAAGUGACAUGACGAGGGAGAAUUAUUGCAAUAGAAAUAAAUUUAACAAAAUUGUAAGGGGACUACUUCAAGAAACAACUUUAGUCAUACCCAAUGUUUACUGGUGUUAAUUUUGGAAGGGAUCGUUGAAACGAAGUUGGUUGCAUUUAGGAGAGAACAUAUCAGAAAAAAAAUAGAAACAGAAUCUCAAAUGUAUUAAUUAGCUCCAUAUCGAAAGCAAAAGGCAUUUGUUUGAACAUGGUUUUAUUUGUUAUUGAAAUCCAGUUAUCCUAAACACAUUAUUCCUCACAAUUAAAACUAAUUAAUUGUUUAUAAGCAGCGUUCCUGAAAUGGGGCUGCUGGCUUUCUAAUUCUAAAGCAACGCGUUCAAAUUAUAAAUAUGUAAUCGAAUCAAAUUUUAAUCGGUAAAAAGACAUUACAAAUCAAGUGUUUUAAAUGUGUUUCAUUCGAUGUCCCAGAUUGGAAAGCGUUAGAUUGUUGACGAGAUGAAAGAUAAACAAUAAAACAGCCAAGUAUUGCGAAAGCACAGAGAAAAAAACGGCAAGGAUAAAUUGUUGACAAUAAUAUAAAGUUUAGUGUGUAGGCUGAGAGAAAAAUCUGAAAGCAAAGCGAUACAAGGUUUUUAAACAAAACAAUAAGCCACAUUUAAGCACUGCAUUAUACACCCACAUGUACCCCUCCCAUAACAAGCUCAUGUAUAAAACAUACCACAAAUGACAAACAUUCCACAUGUUCAAAUUGCCAAAACCGAAACAUAUUAAAUGUGAUCAUCAACGUGACCGUGUUAGGUGUAAAUAAACUCAUACAACUAAAGUCCUGAAAAAAUAUACAGAAUCACAAAACUAACGAAAAA